rnacentral:lncRNA from 1 species
AACAGCAUAGCCACAUAGUGCAACGAGCCAAAUAAAGUCUUAAUUUAUUCAUUUAUUCCUCCAUUAUGUACAGUAACUACUAGUGUAAAAGUCCAUGUAAUUUAAUCUGGGUUGAUGAGCUGUGGGUUCUGUUCUUGUCCUGUAUUUCACUUCAUGGUGUGUUUUAAGUGCACUUACUUAAACCACCUCACUCCUGUGCAUCCCACCUGCUGACCAUCGCUUAGGCUGCCUGGUUCACCACUCACCACUGGUUCACCUGCUUACCCUUUUCCCCCACACUAAAACACAAUCACCUCCCUUCACAUUCAUGUCUCCAUGGCUCCUCCAGAGAUUAAAAGCACAUUUGUCCAAGUGUUAAGCCUGAGAUCCAUCAUCCUUUGGGCUUGUAUUACAGCCACUGGCAAAUGAAAUUCCAACAAAUUCUGGAAGAAAACGUAGCAUCACCUGUGGAUGUAGUUAAAAAGAUAAUGGCUUCUGCACACACACAAAUCUUGUCAGUGGCCAUUGCAACACCCUCCGUCUUUCAAGCUGAGGCUCCCUUUUCUGUCCAUGGAAACACAACACUGAGCCUGGACAAGUGUGUGGACUUUGAUCAGAAGACAGUUUUUGAUAAUGAGAAGGGUUCCUCAGACGAAAAUAUGAUCCACCACCACAGCCUGCCUUGCAACAGCACAGCCCCUAUAGACAAUCCACUGCAUGGACGCAACAGUACAGCCGCGGCAAAUCCACUACAGGGACACAAACACGCAGGCGUCAUUGUCACGAUUCUGUUGAUAGUCCUGGGAGGAGGAGUGAUUGGGGCCAUUUGAUAUUUAAACAACAAGCUUUGUAAGAAAACUGAAGAAGCCAUUGUCGUUUAAAAUGCCUUGAAUCCUUCAUUUCUACCUCCUCCACCCCGAGACACUGCACGGAACAGCUGGCUUCCAUCUUCACGGACAUUUUCAACACCUCCCUGGAGUCAUGCCACGUGCCAGCCUGCUUCAAAUCAUCCACCAUCGCCCCUGUUCCUAAGAAGCCACGGAUCAAAGGACCAAAUGACUGCAGACAUCAGCCACUAGCCUGUAGUCAUGAAGUCUUCUGAAAUCUUCUCCCCAUCUGAAGGACAUCACCGCCCCCCUCCCGGUCUCAGCUGCUCAGGGGGACAGGUCUCGAGGUCCUUUUUAUAUUUGUUUUUGCGCUGGUCAUUUUUCAUUGUUAAUCAUGGAUCUUGAAAGCCAGGUGAACACAUCUGUACAGUGUAAUGGCUUUGCCGAUUGUGACCUGCUUCAUUCACCAAAGAAGAAACGUGAAUGUAACGAUAUCCAAGUCUCACAGGAUGGUAUUAUGGUUUUAGCACCGGCAGAAUUUGUCUAAAAAAAACCCCGCUAAUUGGGAUUUUUUUAGCAAGAUCUCUCUCUCCCUGUCAGCUCUUAAUGGUUCUAAAAUUUAAAGUAUCGGUAGUUUCUGUUUCUGCAAACAACUGGACUAAACAAGGCAUCACAUAAACAAGGUGAAGUAAUUAAUCAAAUGCCUUUGUUAAAAAAUAAAUCAUUAAGGGUCAUUGAAUGAAUUGUGCUGACCUAAAAUGACAUCAGAAAGCAAUACCUUCCAUGAGACAUUAAUAGUGAUAUUGCUCUUGCACUUUUGUUGUUUACUCCGUAACAAAAAUUACCAAAAUAUAUGGCCCGAAACACACUGAUUUGGAGGUUUUCUGCUGACAUUUUUUGCAACAUUCCUUUCAUUUUGCACAAAGUUUUGCUCAUAUGUUUAAAUUUAAGUUGAUCCACAUUUAGAUUAUUCCUCUAUUCACAAUAAUGGAUACAAAUCUUUCAUUAGAUCCAUGGGGUCAUUGCAAAAAAUAAGGCAUUUAAACCAAACCAAAAAUUGUUGUUUACUUUGUUACUUUCCUCCACUGAAGGCGUGUUUACUACCGUUGCACUUUUCACACUUUUCCAAAUAAUUUAUGUAUUUUUUAAUAUAUAUUUAUAUUGACAAUAAAU